rnacentral:rRNA from 1 species
CCUACGGGAGGCAGCAGUGAGGAAUAUUGGUCAAUGGGCGCGAGCCUGAACCAGCCAAGUCGCGUGAGGGAAGACGGUCCUAUGGUUUGUAAACUCCUUUUGCCGGGGAGCAAAAGACGCCACGCGUGGCGUUCCGAGAGUACCGGAAGAACAAGCAUCGGCUAACUCCGUGCCAGCAGCCGCGGAAAUACGGAGGAUGCGAGGUUUAUCCGGAUUUAUUGGGUUAAAAGGGUGCGCAGCCGGAAGAUAAAGUCAGGGGUAAAAUCGAGGGGCUCACCCUAGUCGAGCCGUUGAAACUGGUUUUCUGGAGUGGGGGAGAGGUAGGUGGAAUGCGUGGUGUAGCGGUGAAAUGCGUAGAUAUCACGCAGAACUCCGAUGGCGAAGGCAGCAUACCGGCGCACAACUGACGCUGAUGCACGAAAGUGUGGGUAGCGAACAGGAUUAGAUACCCCAGUAGUC